rnacentral:rRNA from 1 species
UACGAAGGGGGCUAGCGUUGUUCGGAAUCACUGGGCGUAAAGCGCACGUAGGCGGAUUUUUAAGUCAGGGGUGAAAUCCCAGAGCUCAACUCUGGAACUGCCUUUGAUACUGGGUAUCUUGAGUAUGGAAGAGGUAAGUGGAAUUCCGAGUGUAGAGGUGAAAUUCGUAGAUAUUCGGAGGAACACCAGUGGCGAAGGCGGCUUACUGGUCCAUUACUGACGCUGAGGUGCGAAAGCGUGGGGAGCAAACAGG